rnacentral:rRNA from 1 species
AUUGAACGCUGGCGGCAUGCCUUACACAUGCAAGUCGAACGGCAGCACGGGGGCAACCCUGGUGGCGAGUGGCGAACGGGUGAGUAAUACAUCGGAACGUGCCCAGUCGUGGGGGAUAUCGUAGCGAAAGUUACGCUAAUACCGCAUACGAUCUCUGGAUGAAAGCGGGGGACCGCAAGGCCUCGCGCGAUUGGAGCGGCCGAUGGCAGAUUAGGUAGUUGGUGGGGUAAAAGCUUACCAAGCCUCCGAUCUGUAGCUGGUCUGAGAGGACGAUCAGCCACACUGGGACUGAGACACGGCCCAGACUCCUACGGGAGGCAGCAGUGGGGAAUUUUGGACAAUGGGCAAAAGCCUGAUCCAGCAAUGCCGCGUGCAGGACGAAGGCCUUCGGGUUGUAAACUGCUUUUGUACGGAGCGAAACGGCUUCCACUAAUACUGGGGGCUAAUGACGGUACCGUAAGAAUAAGCACCGGCUAACUACGUGCCAGCCGCCGCCGUAA